rnacentral:rRNA from 1 species
CUACGGGCCGCUCCAGUGAGGAAUUUUGCGCAAUGGGGGAAACCCUGACGCAGCAACGCCGCGUGAGUGAAGAAGGCCCUCGGGUCGUAAAGCUCUGUCAAGUGGGAAAAAAGUCCUUUGAUGAAUAGUCAAGGGAGCUGAUGGUACCACUGGAGGAAGCACAGGCUAACUCCGUGCCAGCAGCCGCGGUAAUACGGAGGGUGCAAGCGUUGUUCGGAAUUACUGGGCGUAAAGAGCGUAUAGGCGGUUCGGUAAGUCGGAUGUGAAAGCCCUGGGCUCAACCCAGGAAGUGCAUUCGAUACUGCCAUUCUUGAGUAUGGGAGAGGAGAGUGGAAUGCCCAGUGUAGAGGUGAAAUUCGUAGAUAUUGGGAGGAACACCCGUGGCGAAGGCGGCUCUCUGGACCAAUACUGACGCUGAGACGCGGAAGCGUGGGGAGCAAACAGGAUUAGAACCCGAGUAGUC